GAUGAACGCUGGCGGCGUGCCUAAUACAUGCAAGUCGAGCGAACAGACGAGGAGCUUGCUCCUCUGACGUUAGCGGCGGACGGGUGAGUAACACGUGGAUAACCUACCUAUAAGACUGGGAUAACUUCAGGAAACCGGAGCUAAUACCGGAUAACAUGUUGAACCGCAUGGUUCAACAGUGAAAGACGGUCUUGCUGUCACUUAUAGAUGGAUCCGCGCCGCAUUAGCUAGUUGGUAAGGUAACGGCUUGCCAAGGCAACGAUGCGUAGCCGACCUGAGAGGGUGAUCGGCCACACUGGAACUGAGACACGGUCCAGACUCCUACGGGAGGCAGCAGUAGGGAAUCUUCCGCAAUGGGCGAAAGCCUGACGGAGCAACGCCGCGUGAGUGAAGAAGGUCUUCGGAUCGUAAAACUCUGUUAUUAGGGAAGAACAAAUGUGUAAGUAACUAUGCACGUCCUGACGGUACCUAAUCAGAAAGCCACGGCUAACUACGUG
rnacentral:rRNA from 1 species